CGAUGCUCUAAAUUCCUUUUGCUGAUGAGAUGACACAGUCAAACUACUCUACGUAUAAGCUACCUCAUUGCUCGUCAUCCAGCAAGCUACCCCAUAUUCUGUAUUUAUCACGUAUUGGAUUUCUAAUUUCUGAGUUGUCGACCCUGUGUAGUUGUUGUAGAGGGGCUGUGGUACAACUGAUUGAAAGAAAAGAAGAUCUUGAGUGACUGAUGGGAAAAUGUUCGGUGGAAGAGAGUUAACGAUCGGGUUGAAUGGGGAUUCUCCGGUAGGUGAUUAGCCAUUAAUUUCUUACAAGGAACUAAAGUAAUCUACAAUAGCUGGAGUCAUCUCAACCUUACGAUCUAUGGGUGCUUGGCGUUCUGGUGUUCCCCCACAAGAGGCUAAUGAGUUUAGCAGAAACACCAGUUUAGAAAUAAUCUUCCUCUACCAUGCCGAACUCCGAAAGGACAGCUUUUGAGGAUGAGGAGGUGCCCUUUGAAGUUCCAAAGAAUUUGGUUUAGUAUUCUCUGCUUGUCACUAGCAUUUUGGAAUGUGAAGAGAAAAAGAUUUACAUCUAGAUCUUCAAUGUGGAACUUAAAGAUGAAGUUCCAAGCUAUUCUGGAUGAAGCAUGUUCAGUUUCAGGUGAAAGGUUUAAGUCUUCCCAAAAAAGAGCAUUUGUUUGAUAGGUCCAGCUUCUCCAUAUCCAUAGAGAAGGAUUUUUUGGAAACUAUUGUGCUUUCUAUGGGAUUGCAAAAGGAGUUUUGUAAGGGAAAGGAAGAGAGUAAGAGGGCUUGGAUUUUUAUGGAAAGGUGGUAGGAUUAGAGGGGUGGUGAUCGGUUUUCACUACUAGGAGCUGUAGAGAGAACUCAUCUGGGAGAGAGAGCUGGAAAAAAUGACAGCUUGUUAUUUUGUAAAUCAAAUGCUUUGGAGUGGAGUCGAAUAAUGGAGAUUCUUGGUAUCUAUGAACAAGCAUUUAGACAAAGACUUAAUAUGGACAAAACUUCUGUUCAUUUUAGCAGAAAUACAAAGGAGGCAGCAAAAAGAUUCAUUAUGAGUAGCAGGGGUCAAGGCUUCAAAUUCUUAUUAAACUUACCUUGGUCUGCUAGCUCUUAUAGGUACAUAAAAAAGGAAGGCUUUCUGCAACAUCUUAGAUAGGGUGAGGAGCAGAAUCAACAAUUAGAAAAUGAAGUUUUUCUUACAAGCUGGAAAGGAAAUCUUGCUCAAAGCUGUUAUUCAAUCUCUUCCAACUUACUGUACGGGAGUCUUUAAGCUUCUAGCUUCAUUACUCAGAGAGAUUAAUAAAGUUAUGAAGUAGUUUUGGUGGAAUCAUAAACAAAGUGAAGGCAAUGUUCAUUGGGCCUUAUGGAGUCAAAUGGGGAAGGCUAAAUUUGUAGGUGGUUUAGGUUUUAGAGAUUUGGAAAGCUUCAACAUUGCCUUGAUUGCAAAGCAAGGUUACAGGUUAAUUCCAAGACUUGAAGCUCUGUCAAGUAAGAUCUUGAAACUGAAAUAUUUUCCUCAUUCAUCUUUCUUUGAUGUCAAAAUUGGAACCAACCCUUCUUAUAUAUGUAGGAGUAUUCAUGCUGCAAAGAAGUUAGUAGAGGAAGGGUCAUUAUGGAGAGUCGGUAAUGAAUCACAGAUAAGAAUUUGGAAUGAUAGAUGGAUUUCUCAACCAUCUUCCUUUCAAAUUCAAAGUCCGGUCUAGGUAAUAGAUAGGGAUGCAUAUGUUUUUGCUCUUAUUGAUCCAGAACAUAGGUGUUGGAACAUUCCUUUACUUGACUCUAUUUUUAAUAGUACUGAAGCUGAUAUUAUGAAAAAGAUUCCUAUAAGUGCCUUUAACUGUCUUGAUAGAAUUAUUUAGAGGUGCUCAAAUAAUGGUAUGUUCCCUGUAAAGAGUGCAUAUCAUAUGCAUAAGGAGUUGAUGGAAAGGAAGAAAGAGCAAGGGUUGAGCUCUAAUACUAAUAAAGGUAUUUGGGUUAAGCUUUGGAAGAUGAACAUUCCUAAUGCUGCUAAAGUCUUUGUUGGUAGGACUUGUUUAGAAUCACUUCCUACUAAGGAUAAUCUUUUUAAGAAGAAAAUUGUAGAGUCCUCAACCUGUCCCAUUUGCUUGAGUAAUAUAGAAAUAGUAAAUCAUGCAUUGUGGGAUUGCCCAACAUCUAAGGAUGUAUGGAGUAAUUUCUUAAUGAAAGUUCAGAAAAGCAGUUUUACUGCUUCUAGUUUUAUGCAGUUGUUAGUCUAUAUGAGUGGAUUGCUAGAGCAGGAAUUAUUGGAGGAGGUCAUCAUGACAGCAAAGAAGAUAUGGUAAAAGAGAAAUUCUUUCAUCUUUCAAGAAGUUUUUGUCCAUCCAAAUAUGGUUCUGUAGCAAGUACAACAACUGUUGACAGAUUUUCAAGAAAGUCAAUUUUUAAAGAAUGUUCCCAGAGAUCCAUCAGAAAGUAGUAACUCGAUUUGGGUACCUCCACCUACAGAUACUUAUAAAGUAAAUUGAGAUGCUGCAAUUAAGCAGGAGAUUGGUAAAGUUGAUAUUGGCAUUGUUAUAAGGGACUUUAAAGGAAAUGUAGUAGUAUCUAGAAGUUUACAGAAACAUAUGUUUAUUGAUUCUUUUACAGCAGAAUUUCAAAGAGUACUUCAAGCAGCAAGUUUUACAAGAGAUAUAAGUUUAAGGAGGAUCAUGUUAGAAGGGGAUGCAUUGCAAAUAGUUAAUAGUUUAAAAUUCGACUCAUCUCAAUCUCAUAUAUCAUGUUUGCUGUUAUGGGAUCCUAAGCUGGUUUUGAAUCACUUUGAUUACUGGAAUAUUGCUGAUGUAAGGAGGAAUGUUAAUAUGGCUGCACAUGUGUUGGCCAAAUAUGCUUUAGGUAGUGAAGAGGAUGAAAUCAGAUUGGAUGAUAGCCAUUUAUGUAUUCUUCAUUUCAUUUGAUUGAAUUAUUGAAUAAAGAUUACUGUGAUUCAUUUCAAAAAAUAAAAUAACGAUGAAAACUAAUAAUGCGA